CUGCCGACUGGACUGACUUCAGCCCUGCGUCCACACUCAGCCUCCACGUUUGUGAACGACUGACACGGACAGACAUGCAGAGGACCCUCAGGGCAGAACUUCUGUAUCUAACUGCUGACAGCAUACAGAGAACUGAAGAUCAGAAAGUUUUUGGGUCUUGCAACUGCUGAUGGGUGGCCCUGCACCUACUGUGGCAGCCACGCAGGCUGAGACUUCAAAUGCGGCAAACGUGGAUGUGAGAGUUGGAUCAUAAAGAAACCUGAGCACUGAAGAAUUGAUGCUUUCAAAUUGUGGUGCUGGAGAAGACUCUUGAGAGUCCCUUAGACAGCCAGGAGAUCAAACCAGUCAAUCCUAAAGGAAAUCAACACUGAAUAUUCAUUGGAAGGACUGAUGCUGAAGUUCCAAUACUUUCUGUACCUGAUGCAAAGAGCUGACUCAUUGGAAAAGACCCUGAUGCUUGGAAAGACUGAGGGCAGGAGGAGGAAGAGGCAAGAGAGGAUGAGACGGUUGGAUGGCAACACUGACUUAAUGGACAUGAGUUUGAGCAAACUCCAGAAGACAGUGAAGGACACGGGAGCCCGGCAUGCUGCAGUUCAUGGGGUCGCAAGGAGUCAGACAUGACUUAGCAAUCAAAUUAUGUUUUACCAAACAUUAAUAUUCAAUUAAUAGGUAUUCCUUGAAAUUCAUCACCAAAAUGUUGCUAGCAGUAAUUUUUCUAAAAUUUA